rnacentral:rRNA from 1 species
GCUACGGGAGGCAGCAGUAGGGAAUAUUGCUCAAUGGGGGAAACCCUGAAGCAGCAACGCCGCGUGGAGGAUGAAGGUGUUCGGAUUGUAAACGCCUUGUGUUAGAGAAGAGAAUGACGGUAUCUAACGAAUAAGCACCGGCUAACUCCGUGCCAGCAGCCGCGGGAAUACGGAGGGUGCAAGCGUUACUCGGAACCACGGGGCGUAAAGAGCGCGUAGGCGGGAUAGCAAGUCCGAUGUGAAAUCCUAUGGCUUAACCCUAGAACUGCAUUUUAAACGGUUAUUCUAGAGUAUGGGAGAGGUAUGUGGACUUCUUGGUGUCGCGGUCAAAUCCGUAGAGAUCACGCGGAAUCCUCAUUGCGAAGGCGACCUGCUAGACCAUCACUGCCGCUGAUGCGC